rnacentral:lncRNA from 1 species
AAAAGCGCAGGUCCCCGCCUCGGCAGCCACGGGACACCUGCAUCUGCCAACAAGACUGGAAGCAGGUGAGGCACACAGAGGGGGAGGCCCGCAGCUGCGUGGGAGGAGGGGUGGUCUGAGGGACGUGGGAUGCCGGGAAUGAGGCUGGUUUGCAGGUUGGCGCAUGGACAUUUUCCCAGAAAGGGACAGAGACGGCGAAGUUUGACGGUCUGGAAAGCAGAGACCAGCAGGGCUGACUGCUUGGGAGGUAAGUUCUGGGGACAUGGUACAGGGUGAGGAGCAGGUAUCAGUGCUAGUUGCGACCCCUCUGUGUCUCCCCCCCGCCACCCCAUUGCCAUUCUGAAGCUCCCCAGGAAGAAGCUAGGAGGGGAAAUAAAUUGAGUGGGGGUGGGGUUUCCCAAGAAUCGGAGGAACCGAGAACGAAGAGGGGUGGGGGAACGGGGAAAGAGAGAGGAAAAUCAAGUUUUCUUCAGCACGAGGGACAGCUCUCCACCGACCGAAGGAGGAGAAUGCUAUUUAUUUCAGCACCAAAUAUCCGGACAGCGCCUCUCGGGAGGUCCGAGAAGAGAACCGCGAUCUGUUUCAGCACCGGGGCUCAGGACAGUUCCCAGCGGGCUCCGUUUCGUCUCCAGAACCCUGGACAGCUCCUCCAGGUAACGGGAGAGCCCUUUGACCCUGAUUUUGCAGGGGGAGGACGAGAGAGGGUGGUCUGAGGUGCCUGGCAUUUCUGGAGACCUGCACCUCAUGUAAUGGAUUUUUAAACAAAGUAUUUUCCAGAUAAGCACACACAGAAGUCUGCAAUUUUCUUUUUUUUUCGAGACGGAGUCUUGCUCUGUCGCCCAGGCUGGAGUGCAGUGGCACGAUCUCGGCUCACUGCAACCUCUGCCUCCUGGGUUCAAGGGAUUCUCCUGCCUCAGCCUCCCGAGUAUCUGGGAUUACAGGCACAUGCCACCACUCCCGGCUAAUUUUUGUAUUCUUAGUAGAGACGGGGUUUCACCAUGUUGGCCAGGCUGGUCUCAAACUCUUGACCUCUUCAUCCGUCCACCUCAGCCUCCCAAAGUGCUAGGAUUACAGGCGUGAGUCACUGCGCCUGGCCCAAGUCCGGAAUUUUCAACAGGUAAGAUACCUCACUGGGGUAACAGCUGCCUGCUAAGAUGACAUUAUGGUGUCUCUUCCAGACUUCGGUGAGAAACCUUGUGCCAAGCAUUUUACAUACAUCAUAUCAUGCCAUCUUCAACCCUAGGACAUGGGUGUUACUGUGCCCAUGUGACAUUUGGGGAACCCAAGGCCCUGAGAAAGGCAGAAAAAUAACCCACGCAGGGACUCUCAGCCCACAAGUGAAGCUGUAAGUCAACCCCACCAGUCCAACUCCAAAUCCCAUGUCUCUGACGUGCCUGGGUGGGAGGUGGGCCCUUGGAGAUCAGACCCUGCUUCUCUCCAGGAGAACCGGGAAUGGAAAACAGGGAGGCAGCACAGAGGCAGGAAACUCAGGUGUCAUAGCUUGGCUCAGGUGAGAAGGAGGAGCUGGGCAGGGGUCUCAGACAUGGGGCAGAGGGUGGUGAAGAAGAUUAGAGUGGCUGUGGUCUAGUGCUGUGUGGAAGACUAGUGAUUUUGUUGUUCUGAUGUACUACGACAACAAGUCACAGCCGGCCUCAUAGCGCAGACUCCCUUCGACCUUCGCCUUCAAUGGGCUGGCCAGUGGGGGAGAACCGGGGAGGUCGGGGAAGAAUCGCUUCCACUCGGAGUGGGGGGGCUGGCUCACUCCAGGCGAUACAGGCACAGGCAAAGGAGGGAAGCAAACAAGGACAUACAUCCUGUGCUCAUACAGCCAUGCACCAUGUAUGGGGUUUGUCACAUCACUCGUACGCCCCCACAAGCCUGGAGAUAGAACAUACCUGACUCUAAACCCAAGACCUCUAACCACCUUAUGGCGCUUUCCUGGGAGACCCAAUGAGGGAAUGACAUUUAAAGCCCUCCCUAGACCAGAGUUCUCAGGGUACUUUUCUAUUAAAAAAAAAAUUAUUAUUUUUUUGGCCGGGUGGCUCACGCCUGUCAUCCCAGCACUUUGGGAGGCCAAGGCAGGUGGACCACUUGAGGCCAGGAGUUCAAGACCAGCCUGGACAACAUGGUGAAACUCCAUUUCUCCUAAAAAUACAAAAAUUAGCUGGGCGUUGUGGCACACACCUGUAGUCCCAGCUACUCGGGAGGCUGAGGCAUGGGAAUCCCUUGAACCCAGGAGGCAGAGGCUGCAUGACCCAAGAUUGCACCACUGCACUCCAGCCUGGGCAACAGAGAGAGAUUCUGUCUCAAAAAACAUUUUUUUUUUCUUUUUUGUAAAGACAUGGUCUCCUGCCUCAGCCUCUCAAAGUGCCAAGAUUACAGGUGUGAGCCACCGAACCCAGCCUAAGGAUACUUUUCAAUAAAAGUUCCAGAAGUGGGCUGGGUGUGGGAGCUCAUACCUGUAAUCCUAACAUUUUGGGAGGAUGAGAUGGGAGGAUUGCUUGAGUACAGGAGUUUGAGACCAGCCUGGGCAAUAUAGUGAGACCCCGUGAGUUGACACAUGCCUGUAGUCCCAACUACUUAGGAGGUGGGAGGAACACUUGAGCCUGGGAGAUCAAGGCUGCAGUGAGCCAUGACUGCACCACUGCACUCCAGACUGGGCAACAGAACAACACCCUGUUUCAAAAAAAAAGUUUCAGAAAAGAUUCCUUUCCUGUCUGCUACCCAUCAGUGUCAUGGGCCAAUCAUAGGACAAGUGUGAACUUGUGCCCAGUGGUGACUUAUGACAUCAUAAAGGCUCACCACCUUUGCCAGACAUGGUGGCUCACACUUGUAAUCCCAGCACUUUGGGAGGCCAAGGUGGGAGGAUAGCUUGAGCUCAGGAGUUCGAGACCAGCCUGGGCAACAUAGCAAGACCUCAUCUCAGUAAAAAAUAAUAAAUAAAUAAAUAAAUAUAUAAGACUCACUCCCAAUUCUCUGCAACACCCUAAUCAAGUGAAAAACUGCACAUGGUUACCUGUUCUCCAGCCUCAGGGCUUUUGCCUCUGCUGUUCCUGCAGCUUGGAAUGCACUCCCUCCACCUCCAACCAGAGCUCCCCACAACUGACCCUGCCUUCUUCUGCAAGCUCCAUUUCAUCAAGGGAAACGAUCCUUAUUGCCUCACCAUUUCCCACGUGAAGUCUGUAUUGACAUUCUCAUAGACCUGGGAUAUUGUGUCUGCAGCACAUAGUCCAAUUAUUUUCAUGUUAUCUACUGACAGGUCUAUUUGUCUCCCUGUUACACUGUGAGCUCCGUGAGGGCAGAAACAAUGUUAGUAUUUUCACUGCUGUGUCCCCAGCGCCUGGUCCGGGGCCCGGCACACAGCAGGCAUAUAAUAAGCAUGUGUUGAAUCAAUAAAGGCAUCAAAGAAUAAACCAAUACAUCAAUCAAUAAAUGAAUGAAUGGCCUCAGCA